rnacentral:rRNA from 1 species
UACGUAGGGUGCAAGCGUUGUCCGGAAUUAUUGGGCGUAAAGAGCUCGUAGGCGGCUCGGUAAGUCAGGUGUGAAAACUCUAGGCUCAACCUAGAGACGCCACCUGAUACUGCCGUGGCUAGAGUCCGGUAGGGGAGCAUGGAAUUCCUGGUGUAGCGGUGAAAUGCGUAGAGAUCGGGAGGAACACCAAUGGCGAAAGCAGCUUUCUGGGACGGUACUGACGCUGAGACGCGAAAGCGUGGGGAGCAAACAGG